rnacentral:rRNA from 1 species
AACGAACGCUGGCGGCAUGCCUAACACAUGCAAGUCGAACGCGUGUAGCAAUACACGAGUGGCGGAUGGGUGAGUAACGCGUGGGAACCUGCCCAAUGGUAGGGAAUAACUGCGGGAAACUGCAGCUAAUACCCUAUGCUCCCUACGGGGAAAGAUUAUCGCCAUUGGAGGGGCCCGCGUCGGAUUAGCUAGUUGGCGGGGUAACGGGCCCACCAAGGCUACGAUCCGUAGCNGGUCUGAGAGGAUGAUCAGCCACACUGGGACUGAGAUACGGCCCAGACUCCUACGGGA